rnacentral:rRNA from 1 species
GACGAACGCUGGCGGCGUGCUUAACACAUGCAAGUCGAACGGAAAGGCCCGGCUUUUGUGGGGUGCUCGAGUGGCGAACGGGUGAGUAACACGUGAGUAACCUGCCCUUGACUUUGGGAUAACUUCAGGAAACUGGGGCUAAUACCGGAUAGGAGCUACUGCUGCAUGGUGGGGGUUGGAAAGUUUCGGCGGUUGGGGAUGGACUCGCGGCUUAUCAGCUUGUUGGUGGGGUAGUGGCUUACCAAGGCUUUGACGGGUAGCCGGCCUGAGAGGGUGACCGGCCACACUGGGACUGAGAGACGGCCCAGACUCCUACGGGAGGCAGCAGUGGGGAAUAUUGCACAAUGGGCGGAAGCCUGAUGCAGCAACGCCGCGUGCGGGAUGACGGCCUUCGGGUUGUAAACCGCUUUCGCCUGUGACGAAGCGUAAGUGACGGUAAUGGGAAAAGAAGCACCGGCUAACUACGUG